GGGAUUAAAGCUUAGUUGUUGUUGCUGUGCAGAUUUUCAUCUGCCUUCCCGGUUCAUAUUGAGAAUUAAAUAUCCAGAUCUAACACAUGGAUGCGAAUCCUAAUUCCAGUCUUAAAACUUAAAACAAUAUGAUUUUAGAUCUACAAUUUAUUGAGGGUUUUUUUAGGACCAAAUAUAAAUUUCAUUCAUUGAGAAAGGAAGUUCCCCCAACCAAACCUCAAGAAGAGAAACAAAUAAUCUAUA
rnacentral:misc_RNA from 1 species